rnacentral:rRNA from 1 species
ACUCAAAGGAAUAGACGGGGACCCGCACAAGCAGUGGAGUAUGUGGUUUAAUUCGAAGCAACGCGAAGAACCUUACCAAGACUUGACAUCUCCUGAAUUACCGGUAAAUCGGGAAGUCCUACGGGACAGGAAGACAGGUGGUGCAUGGUUGUCGUCAGCUCGUGUCGUGAGAUGUUGGGUUAAGUCCCGCAACGAGCGCAACCCUUAUUGUUAGUUGCUACAUUCAGUUGAGCACUCUAACGAGACUGCCGUUGACAAAACGGAGGAAGGUGGGGAUGACGUCAAAUCAUCAUGCCCCUUAUGUUUUGGGCUACACACGUACUACAAUGGCCGUUAACAACGGGAAGCUAAGGAGCGAUCCGGAGCAAAUCCCCAAAAACGGCCUCAGUUCAGAUUGCAGGCUGCAACCCGCCUGUAUGAAGUCGGAAUUGCUAGUAAUCGCGGAUCAGCAUGCCGCGGUGAAUACGUUCCCGGGUCUUGUACACACCGCCCGU